rnacentral:rRNA from 1 species
UACGGGGGGGGCAAGCGUUGUUCGGAAUUACUGGGCGUAAAGGGCUCGUAGGUGGCCAACUAAGUCAGACGUGAAAUCCCUCGGCUUAACCGGGGAACGGCGUCCGAUACUGGAUGGCUUGAGUUCGGGAGAGGGAUGCGGAACUCCAGGUGUAGCGGUGAAAUGCGUAGAUAUCUGGAGGAACACCGGUGGCGAAGGCGGCAUCCUGGACCGAGACUGACACUGAGGAGCGAAAGCCAGGGGAGCAAACGGG